GGGGGGAAUGGAGCUAGUAGCUCUUUUAGGAAGAUUAGAAACUUCUUCCUCCAGAGAAGAAAAGACACCCCCUCCACUAUUUCCAGUUCAAAGUUCUUGGUGCCAAAGUCCAGACUCUCCUACACAUCCUCAUUACUCACUGGAAAGACAUUUGGUGAUGGGCAAUGAUGGUAGCAGCUUAUGCAGACAAACUAGAUCACAACCAGCACACCCUGAUCCUGCCUAAUCUUGAUGGUGUGAUUAUACCUCUUCAUUUUAUCACUUCAGGCUCCUGGCCCAAGCUUCUCAUGCUCCCA